GUGCUUUUGACAGCUGUGUGUACGAGUUGUGCAGUGCUAUUACGUACAGUGUUUUUCACGAUUUUCUCUCUAUUAGAAAAUUAUUGACUAAACAACGACCCCAUUUAGUGUCAAAACUCUUCAAUUAAAACCACUCACUUUAUUACCAACCUCUUUAAAGUGUACUUUUCUGUGAUUGUUUGAACAAAAAAGUUGAAAUAUUUUACAAAAACGUCGCUGGAAUUCAUAUGCGAAAUGUUGCUGCGUGAGUGAUGUGAGCGCGUGACGUCACAAGAUGGCGGUGGGCGAGGCGCGCGUGCCGCUGCUGCACGGCGAGCGACCCCCGCAGCCGCACAGGGGCGACACCCGGGCGCCUCCUCACGACCGAUACGAUGCAGAUUCUCCAGGCCACAAGGCGCCCCUCGACCACUCGUCGCUCGGCGGUGGCGUGACCGUGGUGACGUCACUGAUAGCCGGGGCCACCGCCGGCGCCAUCGCCAAGACUGCUAUAGCGCCUCUAGACAGGACCAAGAUUAACUUCCAGAUUUCCCAAACCCCAUACUCGUGGCGAGCUGCAAUCAACUUCCUGAUCAAGAGCGCCCGCACCGAGGGCUUCCUGGCGCUAUGGCGCGGCAACAGCGCCACCAUGGCUCGCAUCAUACCGUACGCCGCCAUCCAGUUCACCGCGCACGAGCAGUGGAAGAAACUCCUCAAGGUCGACACUCCGCAAAGCGCCAAAGCACACCCCAUCCUGCACCUGGUGGCGGGUUCCCUCGCCGGCGUGACGUCACAGUCCGCCACUUACCCGCUCGACGUGGCCCGCGCCCGCAUGGCCGUCACCAACACACGCGAGUACAGCUCGCUGAGAUGUGUGUUUGUGACAGUGGCGAGGGUUGAGGGCUUGAGGACGCUGUAUAGAGGUUACUCAGCGACCGUGCUGGGUGUGAUACCUUAUGCCGGCGUCUCCUUCUACACGUACGACACACUCAAACACAAGUACCAAGAAUACUUCGGCAAGCCGCAAGGCGCGGUGGUGAACGUGUGCCUCGGCGGCACCGCCGGCGCCAUCGCGCAGACCGCCUCCUACCCGCUCGACAUCGUGCGGCGCCGCAUGCAGACCGCGCGGCGCCGCCCCGACGGCACAUACCCGUACGGCAGCAUCGCUGAUACACUCGUCAUGGUGUAUAAGUGAGUAUAUUGUACAUCGCGCAGACCGCCUCCUACCCGCUCGACAUCGUGCGGCGCCGCAUGCAGACCGCGCGGCGCCGCCCCGACGGCACAUACCCGUACGGCAGCAUCGCUGAUACACUCGUCAUGGUGUAUAAGUGAGUAUAUUGUACAUCGCGCAGACCGCCUCCUACCCGCUCGACAUCGUGCGGCGCCGCAUGCAGACCGCGCGGCGCCGCCCCGACGGCACAUACCCGUACGGCAGCAUCGCUGAUACACUCGUCAUGGUGUAUAAGUGAGUAUAUUGUACAUCGCGCAGACCGCCUCCUACCCGCUCGACAUCGUGCGGCGCCGCAUGCAGACCGCGCGGCGCCGCCCCGACGGCACAUACCCGUACGGCAGCAUCGCUGAUACACUCGUCAUGGUGUAUAAGUGAGUAUAUUGUACAUCGCGCAGACCGCCUCCUACCCGCUCGACAUCGUGCGGCGCCGCAUGCAGACCGCGCGGCGCCGCCCCGACGGCACAUACCCGUACGGCAGCAUCGCUGAUACACUCGUCAUGGUGUAUAAGUGAGUAUAUUGUACAUCGCGCAGACCGCCUCCUACCCGCUCGACAUCGUGCGGCGCCGCAUGCAGACCGCGCGGCGCCGCCCCGACGGCACAUACCCGUACGGCAGCAUCGCUGAUACACUCGUCAUGGUGUAUAAGUGAGUAUAUUGUACAUCGCGCAGACCGCCUCCUACCCGCUCGACAUCGUGCGGCGCCGCAUGCAGACCGCGCGGCGCCGCCCCGACGGCACAUACCCGUACGGCAGCAUCGCUGAUACACUCGUCAUGGUGUAUAAGUGAGUAUAUUGUACAUCGCGCAGACCGCCUCCUACCCGCUCGACAUCGUGCGGCGCCGCAUGCAGACCGCGCGGCGCCGCCCCGACGGCACAUACCCGUACGGCAGCAUCGCUGAUACACUCGUCAUGGUGUAUAAAUCAGAAGGUUGGCGCGGCUUCUUCAAGGGCCUCAGCAUGAACUGGGUGAAGGGACCGAUAGCUGUCGGUAUAUCUUUCGCUACCUACGACGCCAUUAAAAGCACCCUCAGAGAUAUAGCCGUACAUUUCAACAGCUAGUCUA
rnacentral:misc_RNA from 1 species